AUUGACUUUAUUUUUUAGUUUUUAGAUACAAUGUUUUGACUCAUCGUUUUAUUUGAUUUAUUUUCCGAUUAAUAUUUUUUUUGUUACUAGAUGGUAAAACAUGAAUAGUAUUUUAUGCGUGACUAAUUAUUUUAAGUUUUUAUACAAAUUUUUCAAAUAAGACGAAUGGUCAAACUUUGAACAUAGAAAUCGAAAAAUGAAGUUAUU
rnacentral:pre_miRNA from 1 species